rnacentral:pre_miRNA from 1 species
UUUGAGGGGAAUGUUGUCUGGCUCGAGGCCCCCUCUCUCUCUCUUACCCCUUUCUCUAUCAUCUCUCAAUUCUUCUCUCUCUCUCGUCCCUUUCUCUCUUUCUCUCUCUAAAAUCCCCUUUCUCUCACUAUUAUCUCUUUCUAUUGUGAAUGGUUGUUGUGGCGUCGGACCAGGCUUCAUUCCCCCCAAU